UACAUGGGGUGCAAACGUUGCUCGGAAUUAUUGGGCGUAAAGCGCGCGUAGGCGGUUUGUUAAGUCGGAUGUGAAAUCCCUCGGCUCAACUGAGGAAGUGCAUCCGAAACUGGCAGGCUUGAGUACUAAAGAGGGUCGCGGAAUUCCCGGUGUAGAGGUGAAAUUCGUAGAUAUCGGGAGGAACACCGGUGGCGAAGGCGGCGACCUGGGUAGAUACUGACGCUGAGGUGCGAAAGCGUGGGGAGCAAACAGG
rnacentral:rRNA from 1 species